AGCUUGUUGGUGAGGUAAUGGCUCACCAAGGCGACGACGGGUAGCCGGCCUGAGAGGGCGACCGGCCACACUGGGACUGAGACACGGCCCAGACUCCUACGGGAGGCAGCAGUGGGGAAUAUUGCACAAUGGGCGAAAGCCUGAUGCAGCGACGCCGCGUGAGGGAUGACGGCCUUCGGGUUGUAAACCUCUUUCAGCAGGGAAGAAGCGAAAGUGACGGUACCUGCAGAAGAAGCGCCGGCUAACUACGUGCCAGCAGCCGCGGUAAUACGUAGGGCGCAAGCGUUGUCCGGAAUUAUUGGGCGUAAAGAGCUCGUAGGCGGCUUGUCACGUCGGGUGUGAAAGCCCGGGGCUUAACCCCGGGUCUGCAUUCGAUACGGGCUAGCUAGAGU
rnacentral:rRNA from 1 species